AAAAUUUUAAAAACUUAAACAAAGAACACGAUGGGCCUAACAGGCUCAACAACAAAACAACUCCAAGAGGUUUAGGAGCUCUGCAACCAAACUCCAUAGCUAAAGACUUCGAUUUCAUGGCGGCAAAGCAAUCAGGAACAUGUUUCAUCAUCUGAGACAUAUACAAUGGAGCCUGUUCAUUUGAGUAGACGCACUUUGCUCAAGGGAAGGGUGAGUACUCAGGAGGUUUUCCAUCUAUCCAAUUCUGACUUGGUCCUUGGUAAAUAUGAAGGAUUUAUAUUGAGGAUUUGCAUAAUGUAGGGGGUGAGAAGGUUCACUAGAUUUAUCUAAAACUCCAAAAUCAGAGGUGCAAGAUGGUCCAUUAUUAUUUAUUGGAAAGUGGGUUUUAGAGCAACUGGCCUACAUUUCCACAAAUAUUUAUCAAGGGGGAGUUCAUCGGAGGAUCAGACAUCAUUCUUAACAUGCACCAAGUAUUAUCACAUCAAAAUUGCUCUUCUUCUUAAGCCUGGGAUUCAUUGUUUUAAUGGUUUGGCCGGUCAUGUAGACUGGCAAGCUGAAGGAAAUGCUUAAAGAUAUUGCUGCCAACUAGGAGAGAUCAGAGUAAUUUAUGAUUGUCAACCAUGUAUAGUAAGAGUUUGGAGUUGUCUUUUGAGGUUCUAAUUUCUUUUGAGGUAAUAUAUGCAUGUUAAAUUUAUGUCCUGCUAAUAAACCCUGUUUUAGCGGGAAGCUUGUGCAUUGAGUAGCUCAUUUUAAGUAUGUUAAACUAUCAAUAUUUGUUGAUUUAAUCCAAUAAUGGUUUG